CACCUGCAUUUCUCACCCCAUCAUCCACCUGUGCUGCUGGGGAGGAGCUGUGAGUAGCAGCUGUGGGGUGAGGAAUUGAAGCACAGCAGGAUUUGCAGCUCUUAAGGAUAAGGGGCAGGCACCCUGUUUGCUGUUGAGAUAUGGCAAAGCAGAAGCCCUCAAAGCUGUCAUGGGGAGCACAGAGUGCUGAGGCAUUCAAGGACUGAGGGAUUAUGGCAGUCCUGCUAUCUCACCCACUGCCACCGUAUACAAGCAGCAAUUUGUGUCAGGAAUCCACAUCACAGCAUCGUGCCACUGUGUGAGAAACAGCAACAGAAAAUAGCUGAGGGAGAAAAAGAAGUGAAACUGGCUGGUCUGAAUUCAUGAGAAAUCCAUUCCAGGGAUGGAGAUUAUAUGAGAUGGUUCCUUAUCUUGGUUACACUUGCAACACAGCACUGAAAAAGAGCCAACCCAUUGCACCCCCCACGCUUGCCAUGUUAUGCCCUGGUGGCUUUUGUGGUGUGCUCUGGGGCUCCCCAUGCUGCCAAGAGGAGAGUGAUGAAGAAUGCUGCAUAUCCAAGGCAUUGUUUUGGGAACUAACACCAGGACAGGUUGAUGCAAGGCACUGCUUAUGGGUUUUUGAUAGUCUUUAUUUGCUGGGAUCAAGAAGGCAAAGGUGGCCCAGAGGAAUAAAGCGCUUGUGAAACCUGAGCUGUUAAGACCUGCUGGAGCAUUCCCCCUUGUACUGGCCAGUGACCUAUGUGGAGCAACACGUUGCUGCUGAAUGGUGGCAGCUGCACCCAUUGCAGCUCCCAGGCCUGGCACCCGUUCUUCCAGAUAAGACAUUGACAAGUGAAGAAGGUGACAGGGCUCAGCCCCUGCUUCCUCCUGUUCAGGCUGGUGCAUCACAAUGCCACGCUGGCUACAGUGCCCUGAGAAGGCAGGCAUCCUGCUCUUGCUGUACACACCAGAGGUAGUUCCCAAUGGGAAUCAGUCCCUACUCCUCACUGCAAGCCACAGCCCUGUGCACCCUUUGGGGUGACAUUUGGUAAAAACAGAAGUAUGCAGUGUAGUUGCAGACUUGGUCUGCCAGGGGGAUUUCCUGCACUUGCAGAUCCCAUCCUAGCACAGGAGGUUUGACUGGAGAAAGCUGUGGGAUCCCAUUCUGAUAUAGAACCACGCUGUCUGUAAAGCUGCUCACCUACCUCUGCCAAAAUGAGAAUCCUGAGCCUAAGCACUGCAAGAAGCCCCAAGAAUACAGAAUAAAUCCAAGCUUAGAAUUCAUUGGAAUUAAGGAGAGCUUCAUAUAGGAUUUAUGUCUGGUAUGAUUAUUUAAUUUAUAAUUUCCAGAGGUUUCAUUUUGCAAGCAAUCACUGAGGCUACAUUAGCCUGAUAGUGAUGUACGGCUGUCCUGAGGUGCCCUGGGAGAGACAGCGUGGGACCACAGCACUUGGAGGUGUGAUCUUCCCCUGUUUAUCUUGAUGGGAUGCACACAAUAUUGCCAGGGAAGUGGGUCCAAACAACUUAACUGUGUCGCUGCCAGAUGCUGCAGUUGGAAGGGCUGGUGGUACAGCAGUAUGACCUGUAUGUGCCACGUCCUGUCUCCACUCAGAGCCUCCCAGCACCAAGAGGUGCAAGUAGCCUAGCAAAGAUUCAUGGUUAUGCCUGCUAAAGACUCCAGGAACAGCCAACCCUGCAGGAGAGCAGAGACCACAGCCUUUACUGAGACAUGAACUAGAAACUGGGCAGCUUCUUUUGCGUCCAGAGUUCAUCUGGCUGGCUGUCAGCAGAGUCCUGCAGAGCACAGUACUGAGCCUCUUGUGCCAGUUUGGAUGCUCCCUUUUGCACCCAGAAGCGUGCCUGCAAAAGCCCCUGAAGAUGGCAGCUGCUACAAGGCAGAGUGAUCCUUUCCUCUGAUCACAGCCCGCUGCAGCACGGUGGGUGUUGCAGCAGCUCUUUUUCAUGCAAGGCCACCUGAGCAAGGUUUCUUGGAACCCUGGAGAUAUUUAAGCUUUAAUGCAACACUGUUGUUUCUUAUGGCUAUUAGGAAUUUCUAAUGCCUAAAGUGAGAUGUGUGAGGCUGUGCUCAGGCUGUCACACAUCACAAGAUACAGCCCCUACACCUCUGUGUGGCAGCGAGGAUAGGCUCAAACCUUUGGCUGUUCUGAGAGCAAAGCCUGCCAUCAUCUUGUU